UCUUAAUUCAAAAAUGGCAUUCAAAUCAGUCAUUGUUCUCUUGGUAGCCAGCUUGAAUGUUUUCGCUUUGGCUCAACCAUUAACUUACUUACGAGACAGCGGUUUACAAAAUUCAUUAGUUUCACCUUAUUAUCAGAGCUCGUAAAUUGGAUAUCCAAAUGUCAUUAACAGCGUGAAUACUGUAAGCAGCUUGGGAUAUCCUGCAGUUAUAUCGUCACCAUACGUUUCGCCAUCAUACGUAUCA